UACAGAGGUCUCAAGCGUUGUUCGGAUUCAUUGGGCGUAAAGGGUGCGUAGGCGGCGCGGUAAGUCGGGUGUGAAAUCUCGGGGCUUAACUCCGAAACUGCAUUCGAUACUGCCGUGCUUGAGGACUGGAGAGGAGACUGGAAUUUACGGUGUAGCGGUGAAAUGCGUAGAUAUCGUAAGGAAGACCAGUGGCGAAGGCGGGUCUCCGUGGACAAGUUCCUGACGCUGAGGCACGAAGGCCAGGGGAGCAAACGGG
rnacentral:rRNA from 1 species